GGGAUGGAGCCGUCUAAGGUGAGGCUCGUGAUUGGGACUAAGUCGUAACAAGGUAGCCGUACCGGAAGGUGCGGCUGGAUCACCUCCUUUCUACGGAG
rnacentral:rRNA from 1 species